rnacentral:rRNA from 1 species
GACGAACGCUGGCGGCGUGCUUAACACAUGCAAGUCGAACGAUGAAGCCGGAGCUUGCUCUGGUGAAUUAGUGGCGAACGGGUGAGUAACACGUGAGUAACCUGCCCUUGACUCUGGGAUAACUGCGGGAAACUGUAGCUAAUACCGGAUACGACCCUCGGAGGCAUCUCCUGGGGGUGGAAAGAAUUUCGGUCAAGGAUGGACUCGCGGCCUAUCAGCUAGUUGGUGAGGUAAAGGCUCACCAAGGCGACGACGGGUAGCCGGCCUGAGAGGGUGACCGGCCACACUGGGACUGAGACACGGCCCAGACUCCUACGGGAGGCAGCAGUGGGGAAUAUUGCACAAUGGGCGCAAGCCCGAUGCAGCAACGCCGCGUGAGGGAUGACGGCCUUCGGGUUGUAAACCUCUUUUAGCAGGGAAGAAGCGAAAGUGACGGUACCUGCGGAAAAAGCACCGGCUAACUACGUGCCAGCCGCCGCAGUAA